rnacentral:miRNA from 1 species
AAAUCUCAUCCUAAUCUGGUAGCA